GAUGAACGCUAGCUACAGGCUUAACACAUGCAAGUCGCGGGGCAGCAUGUCGGUUGCUUGCAACCGAUGAUGGCGACCGGCGCACGGGUGAGUAACGCGUAUCCAACCUGCCCUUCACCACGGAAUAAUCCAGUGAAAAUUGGUCUAAUACCGUAUGAGGUCAUACGAUGGCAUCAGAAUAUGACGAAAGGUUUAGCGGUGAAGGAUGGGGAUGCGUCUGAUUAGCCUGUUGGUGAGGUAACGGCUCACCAAGGCGACGAUCAGUAGGGGUUCUGAGAGGAAGGUCCCCCACAUUGGAACUGAGACACGGUCCAAACUCCUACGGGAGGCAGCAGUGAGGAAUAUUGGUCAAUGGGCGAGAGCCUGAACCAGCCAAGUAGCGUGCAGGACGACGGCCCUAUGGGUUGUAAACUGCUUUUAUAAGGGAAUAAAGUGGGUCACGUGUGACUUUUUGCAUGUACCUUAUGAAUAAGGACCGGCUAAUUCCGUGCCAG
rnacentral:rRNA from 1 species